CGCCGGGCAGCUUGGAAAGAUGUCUCUGGAAAUCAGACCUCCCAACAAUGACUUCCAGUUGGCCACCUGGAACCAACAGAAUUUCCAAGAAACUGAGAAACCAGGAAAGAUUUUUCAGGAGGACUUUACUGGUGCACCAUCCCAACAAUUAGAAAUGCUCAAAAACUGGAGGACCUAGGUGGUGGAGUGAUAAGCAGCAGAGAAAGAGCCUCUUUGAGAGUUGCCAUCCAGAUGCUGAAAUUUAGCAACCUGAGGAGAUGAGAAGGAGGGAAGUGGGUCCUCUGGACCCAGGAAGGAUUUGAAGUGCGAAUUGAACCCCAUGGAAAGAAUGAAGAGAAAAACUUCAACAAAGAAGCAGGAGGUAGCUGGUGGCGCCUCCUUUCUGAGAUGGGAUUCACUGCACGAGAGGACCAAUUCAAACCUGUUCACACAUGGUGACUGCUAGUGACCCCAGAGAUCUCCACAGAGAAAUGCAGCAGUGGAGGGGAACAGUGAACGUGAAGGACUGCACUGGCUGGCAGUUAGUUCUGAGGGCUAAGUCAACCCACACUAGAGAGUGAUUGGCUGGGAGCCAUCUUGGAGAGGGGCCAGCUGAGCUCAGAACUCAGAGCAGCUGCAGAACUCAGAGCCUCUAUCUAGAGGCUCUCAGCUGGGCUCAGGCCUGCAGAAGGUGCGCUUAUGCCUGCAAGCUGAGUGAGUCUGGUCUUACCAUUAGAUGCAGGAUCACUGAGAUUAUCUACUACCCUGCCAAAUAGUGCUGGCUUCCUGGGAUAAAUCAACAUGGAUCUGGACUCUCUCUCCACACAUUACUUACCAGUGACAGCAGAGACAAACCUGGA